rnacentral:lncRNA from 10 species
CUAUCUUCUGUAUGCAUGGGACAGGAAGAUAAUAUGACCUCAGUAACAAACCACUUUUCUCAAUCAAAGCUGGACUCCCCAGAGGAAUUGGAACCUGACAGAGAAGAGGAUUCUUCUAGCUGUAUUGAUAUUCAAGAAGUUCUUUCUUCAUCAGAAUCAGAUUCAUGCAAUAGUUCCAGUUCAGACAUCAUAAGAGAUCUUUUAGAAGAAGAGGAAGCCUGGGAAGCAUCACAUAAGUGAGUUCUCAUAAUCAUGAAAUAAGCAUGCACUUUGACCUGAGAAAUUAUACUUCUAUGCAGCUGAUUUUCAAACAAAAUUAUAUUUUUGCUUUCUGGUUUAAAGAAGUAGUAAUCCUCAUGCAAGGUAAAGAUUUUCAGUUUACUACUUGUUUCUAUAUAUUUCUGCUAAGAAAUGGAAUCCUAUGUAAUAACUGUAGUUAUGUAUCAGAUGUUAUUUCUGUAUGGAUAAAUUGUUCUUAUGGGCAAUUAAUACAGUCAUGCAUCACUUAACAAUGGG